rnacentral:rRNA from 1 species
UACAGAGGUCUCAAGCGUUGUUCGGAUUCAUUGGGCGUAAAGGGUGCGUAGGUGGCGCCGUAAGUCGGGUGUGAAAUUUCGGAGCUUAACUCCGAAACUGCAUUCGAUACUGCGGUGCUUGAGGACUGGAGAGGAGACUGGAAUUCAUGGUGUAGCAGUGAAAUGCGUAGAGAUCAUGAGGAAGACCAGUGGCGAAGGCGGGUCUC